CCUACGGGCGGCUGCAGUGGGGAGUAUUGCACAAUGGGCGCAAGCCUGAUGCAGCCAUGCCGCGUGUGUGAAGAAGGCCUUCGGGUUGUAAAGCACUUUCAGCGGGGAGGAAGGCGUUAAGGUUAAUAACCUUGGCGAUUGACGUUACCCGCAGAAGAAGCACCGGCUAACUCCGUGCCAGCAGCCGCAGUAAUACGGAGGGUGCAAGCGUUAAUCGGAAUUACUGGGCGUAAAGCGCACGCAGGCGGUCUGUCAAGUCGGAUGUGAAAUCCCCGGGCUCAACCUGGGAACUGCAUUCGAAACUGGCAGGCUAGAGUCUUGUAGAGGGGGGUAGAAUUCCAGGUGUAGCGGUGAAAUGCGUAGAGAUCUGGAGGAAUACCGGUGGCGAAGGUGGCCCCCUGGACAAAGACUGACGCUCAGGUGCGAAAGCGUGGGUGCAAACAGGAUUAGAUACCCGUGUAGUC
rnacentral:rRNA from 1 species